rnacentral:rRNA from 1 species
AGCGAACGCUGGCGGCAGGCCUAACACAUGCAAGUCGAACGAACUCUUCGGAGUUAGUGGCGGACGGGUGAGUAACACGUGGGAACGUGCCUUUAGGUUCGGAAUAACUCAGGGAAACUUGUGCUAAUACCGAAUGUGCCCUUCGGGGGAAAGAUUUAUCGCCUUUAGAGCGGCCCGCGUCUGAUUAGCUAGUUGGUGAGGUAAAGGCUCGCCAAGGCGACGAUCAGUAGCUGGUCUGAGAGGAUGAUCAGCCACAUUGGGACUGAGACACGGCCCAAACUCCUACGGGAGGCAGCAGUGGGGAAUCUUGCGCAAUGGGCGAAAGCCUGACGCAGCCAUGCCGCGUGAAUGAUGAAGGUCUUAGGAUUGUAAAAUUCUUUCACCGGGGACGAUAAGGACGGUACCCGGAGAAGAAGCCCCGGCUAACUUCGU